rnacentral:rRNA from 1 species
GGAUGGGCAUGCGUUGUAUUAGUUAGUUGGUGGGGUAACGGCUCACCAAGACGACGAUACAUAGGGGGACUGAGAGGUUAACCCCCCACAUUGGUACUGAGACACGGACCAGACUCCUACGGGAGGCAGCAGUGAGGAAUAUUGGUCAAUGGCCGCAGGGCUGAACCAGCCAAGUCGCGUGAGGGAUGACGGUCCUAUGGAUUGUAAACCUCUUUUGUCAGGGAGCAAAGGGCGCCACGUGUGGCGUUUUGCGAGUACCUGAAGAAAAAGCAUCGGCUAACUCCGUGCCAGCAGCCGCGGUAAUACGGAGGAUGCGAGCGUUAUCCGGAUUUAUUGGGUUUAAAGGGUGCGCAGGCGGAAUGUCAAGUCAGCGGUAAAAUUUCGGGGCUCAACCCCGUCGUGCCGUUGAAACUGGCGUUCUUGAGUGGGCGAGAAGUAUGCGGAAUGCGUGGUGUAGCGGUGAAAUGCAUAGAUAUCACGCAGAACUCCGAUUGCGAAGGCAGCAUACCGGCGCCCAACUGACGCUGAAGCACGAAAGCGUGGGUAUCGAACAGGAUUAGAUACCCUGGUAGUCCACGCAGUAAACGAUGAAUACUAGCUGUUCGGGGCAAAUGAGCCUUGAGUGGCACAGCGAAAGCGUUA